rnacentral:rRNA from 1 species
AGAGCGAACGCUGGCGGCAGGCCUAACACACGCAAGUCGAGCGCCCGUAGCAAUACGGGAGCGGCAGACGGGGUAGUAACACGUGGGAACGCGCCCUUCGGUUCGGAAUAACUCAGGGAAACUUGAGCUAAUACCGGAUACGCCCUUACGGGGAAAGAUUUAUUGCCGAAGGAACGGCCCGCGUCCGAUUAGCUAGUUGGUGAGGUAAUGGCUCACCAAGGCGACGAUCGGUAGCUGGUCUGAGAGGAUGACCAGCAUCACUGGGACUGAGACACGGCCCAGACUCCUACGGGAGGCAGCAGUGGGGAAUAUUGGACAAUGGGCGCAAGCCUGAUCCAGCCAUGCCGCGUGGAUGAUGAAGGCCUUAGGGUUGUAAAGUCCUUUUAACGGGGAAGAUAAUGACGGUACCCGUAGAAUAAGCCCCGGCUAACUUCGUGCCAGCAGCCGC